rnacentral:rRNA from 1 species
UACGUAGGGGGCAAGCGUUUUCCGGAUUUAUUGGGCGUAAAGAGCGUGUAGGCGGCCAGACAGGUCCGUUGUGAAAACUCGAGGCUCAACCUCGAGAUGUCGAUGGAAACCGUCUGGCUAGAGUCCGGAAGAGGAGUGUGGAAUUCCUGGUGUAGCGGUGAAAUGCGCAGAUAUCAGGAAGAACACCUAUGGCGAAGGCAGCACUCUGGGACGGUACUGACGCUGAGACGCGAAAGCGUGGGGAGCGAACAGG